rnacentral:tRNA from 1 species
GGAAGUAGUUCAGUGGUAGAAUACAACCUUGCCAAGGUUGGGGUCGCGGGUUCGAAUCCCGUCUUCCGCUCCA